rnacentral:misc_RNA from 1 species
UAAUAAGUGUUUUAUGGCACUUUUUAAAUCCAUAUCACCUUGUGUGCAAUGUCGGUCGAUCUUCUUUUUUUGAGGAUCGACCAAACAUCAACCUUUAUUUUUAACUCUUUGUCUGAAAAAUAUUAUGAAUAAACAAUUCAAAAUA